AGCAAGGGAUGAGAGACUGGAAGCGUGGUUUCCAACAGGAGAUUGAAGGCCAAGUUUUGAGACUUGCUUGGAGUGGAGAUGGGAUGGCCUGAUAAAGAUGUGAUCUUUUUCCUCCAUCAGGGCUGAGAUUAAAGGCCUGUGCCACCAUACCCAGCUUCAAUGAUGUUUUGCCUGGUG